rnacentral:rRNA from 1 species
GACAGAGGGGGCAAGCGUUGUUCGGAAUUACUGGGCGGAAAGGGCGCGUAGGCGGCCUUCUAAGUCGAACGUGAAAUCCCCGGGCUCAACCCGGGAACUGCGUCCGAUACUGGAAGGCUUGAAUCCGGGAGAGGGAUGCGGAAUUCCAGGUGUAGCGGUGAAAUGCGUAGAUAUCUGGAGGAACACCGGUGGCGAAGGCGGCAUCCUGGACCGGCAUUGACGCUGAGGCGCGAAAGCCAGGGGAGCAAACGGG